rnacentral:lncRNA from 1 species
UGGAUCAAAGAUGUUUGGAUGGACUCGAUCUCCCCCAAGCUGAAGCUCUUCAUGUGGACAAUCCUCCACAACGCCUUGCCCUUAGGAGAGAAUCUGAAGCGAAGAGGCCUAUUAGUAAACACCAAGUGCCCAAGAUGCGAUGAGGAAGAAACUACAUUGCAUAUCUUCUUUGAAUGCGAUUUUGCUAAGAAGGUGUGGGAGUUGAUACCUCUGAAGAAUGCAGUUCACCUAGCUGCGGGGGAAACUUUCCACGGAGCGAUAAACAUCUUCAGGAGACUAGUCUGCCUUCCCCCUACUGGAAUUUCAGGAGACGUACUACCUUGGGUAUGCUGGAUUCUCUGGACCUCCAGAAACAACCUCAUCUUCGAGAACAGAAGAUUCUCACCUGAGGAAACAGCCACAAAAGGAUUAGCACUAGCGAGAGAAUGGAACGUAGCACAAAACAAAGAGAAAGCACCAAAGGAGGUACCCAAGAUCACGCACCAGAGGAAUCAACAAAAGGACGUGGGCCUAGACAGCAACGAG